UACAGAGGGUGCGAGCGUGAAUCGGAAUUACUGGGCGUAAAGCGCGCGUAGGCGGCUUUGCAAGUCGGGUGUGAAAUCCCCAGGCUUAACCUGGGAACUGCAUUCGAGACUGCAUUGCUAGAGUAUGGGAGAGGGAAGUGGAAUUUCAGGUGUAGCGGUGAAAUGCGUAGAUAUCUGAAGGAACAUCAGUGGCGAAAGCGACUUCCUGGACCAAUACUGACGCUCAUGUGCGAAAGCGUGGGGAGCAAACAGG
rnacentral:rRNA from 1 species